UGGGGAAUAUUGGACAAUGGGCGAAAGCCUGAUCCAGCCAUGCCGCGUGUGUGAAGAAGGUCUUCGGAUUGUAAAGCACUUUAAGUUGGGAGGAAGGGCAGUAAGCGAAUACCUUGCUGUUUUGACGUUACCGACAGAAUAAGCACCGGCUAACUCUGUGCCAGCAGCCGCGGUAAUACAGAGGGUGCAAGCGUUAGUCGGAAUUACUGGGCGUAAAGCGCGCGUAGGUGGUUCGUUAAGUUGAAUGUGAAAGCCCCGGGCUCAACCUGGGAACUGCAUCCAAGACUGGCGAGCUAGAGUAGGGCAGAGGGUGGUGGAAUUUCCUGUGUAGCGGUGAAAUGCGUAGAUAUAGGAAGGAACACCAGUGGCGAAGGCGACCACCUGGGCUCAUAAUGAAACUGAGGUGCGAAAGCGUGGGGAGCAAACAGG
rnacentral:rRNA from 1 species